rnacentral:rRNA from 1 species
AUACGUAGGGUGCAAGCGUUAAUCGGAAUUACUGGGCGUAAAGCGUGCGCAGGCGGUUUUGUAAGAAAGAGGUGAAAUCCCCGGGCUCAACCUGGGAACUGCCUUUGUGACUGCAAGGCUAGAGUACGGCCGAGGGGGAUGGAAUUCCGCGUGUAGCAGGGAAAUGCGUAGAUAUGCGGAGGAACACCGCUGGCGAAGGCAGUCCCCUGGUCCUGUACUGACUCUCAUGCACGAAAGCGUGGGGAGCAAACAGGAUUAGAUUCCCUGGUAGUCCACGCCCUAAACGAUGUCAACUGGUUGUUGGGUCUUCAGUGACUCAGUAACGAAGCUAACGCGUGAAGUGGACCGCCUGGGGAGUACGGCCGCAAGGUUGAAACUCAAAGGAAUUGACGGGG